rnacentral:rRNA from 1 species
AGAGUUUGAUCCUGGCUCAGGGCGAACGCUGGUGGCAGGCUUAACACAUGCAAGUCGAGCGGGCCCUUCGGGGUCAGCGGCAGACGGGUGAGUAACGCGUGGGAACGUGCCCUUCGGUACGGAAUAGCCCUGGGAAACUGGGUGUAAUACCGUAUACGACCUCCGGGUGAAAGAUUUAUCGCCGAAGGAUCGGCCCGCGUUAGAUUAGCUUGAUGGUGGGGUAAGGGCCUACCAUGGCGACGAUCUAUAGCUGGUUUGAGAGGACGACCAGCCACACUGGGACUGAGACACGGCCCAGACUCCUACGGGAGGCAGCAGUGGGGAAUAUUGGACAAUGGGGGCGACCCUGAUCCAGCCAUGCCGCGUGAGUGAUGACGGCCUUAGGGUUGUAAAGCUCUUUUCUCCGGGACGAUAAUGACGGUACCGGAGGAAUAAGCCCCGGCUAACUUCGUGCCAGCAGCCGCGGUAAU